rnacentral:rRNA from 1 species
AGUGAACGCUGGCGGUAGGCCUAACACAUGCAAGUCGAACGGCAGCACAGGAGAGCUUGCUCUCUGGGUGGCGAGUGGCGGACGGGUGAGGAAUACAUCGGAAUCUACUCUGUCGUGGGGGAUAACGUAGGGAAACUUACGCUAAUACCGCAUACGACCUACGGGUGAAAGCAGGGGACCUUCGUACCUUGCGCGAUUGAAUGAGCCGAUGUCGGAUUAGCUAGUUGGCGGGGUAAAGGCCCACCAAGGCGACGAUCCGUAGCUGGUCUGAGAGGAUGAUCAGCCACACUGGAACUGAGACACGGUCCAGACUCCUACGGGAGGCAGCAGUGGGGAAUAUUGGACAAUGGGCGCAAGCCUGAUCCAGCCAUACCGCGUGGGUGAAGAAAGCCUUCGGGUUGUAAAGCCCUUUUGUUGGGAAAGAAAUCCAGCUGGCUAAUACCCGGUUGGGAUGACGGUACCCAAAGAAUAAGCACCGGCUAACUUCGUGCCAGCAGCAGCCGCCG